UACAAUGAUGAGAACAUAUUUUUACACAGACCUGUACUGAUUAUUACAUGCAGAUAAACGAAUAUUGCCUUUUUUUUCUGAUU
rnacentral:snoRNA from 1 species